AUUAUUGUCUUAGGAAUGACAACAUAGUGAAAUCGUUACAGGACAUGACUCUUUAUGUCAUCACCAUAUUUCAUAUUAAAUGAAAAAUCUUAUUGUUCUAUCUCAUUACAACCAAAUGUGUUGUCUUUCUCGUUAAAGUGUUUCAUCCAUUCUUAUAAGAACCCAUCUAGCAUAUGGUUCUAUCUCAGAGGAGUGACACUGAGAACACAAGAUUGAUUAAUCAUAUAAUGUAUUUGGUUGUUACUAGUUGAUUUUGUGUUCUCAGGUCACCCCUUUGAGUCAACC
rnacentral:lncRNA from 1 species